AGAGCCAAAAGAUUACCUCCCAGAUGUUAUCUUUUAAAACAAUAUGUCUAACCUACUCUGAACAGCUUAGUAGUGUUGGGAGAGGAAAAAUACCCUUGCGGAAUUUUGCUUCAUUAGGUGACUGACUGCAAGAUCCGGGUAGUAAAGGUUGUUAUCGUUCAUUAGUAUAUAAAGUCAAGGUCAUAUUAUCUACAAGCAAACUGGAAUGUUAUUUCAGACAAUAUCCGUCGAGUCUUAAAUCAGCUUGAAAAAGCUCAUUCAUAGAUGCAAUUGAAAAAAAUGCACAAAAUAAGUACCCAAUACAUAGACUUUAAAAAUGCAAACCAUGGUGCCUCUUAAAUCUUAUCUAGAUGCUUAUAAGUAAGCUAAAAGAGAGGCGAAAGAUACCAGAGGUAGUCCCCGGACAGUCAAACUCAUAGAUCGAAUAUAAACUGACAACGCCAUGGCUAAAAAUAAAAAAAAAACCGAACAUAUAAUAGUACACAAGACAAAAGAG
rnacentral:lncRNA from 1 species